UCCCUGGCAGUCCAGGGGUUAAGACUCUGCACUUCCAAUGCAAGGGUGCAGGUUCUAUACCUGGUCGGGGAA
rfam:TPA: Bos taurus chromosome 11, whole genome shotgun sequence.